GAUCCCAUAGCUCAGGUGGAUAGAGCGGCGGUUUCCUAAACCGCAGGCCACAAGUUCGAAUCUUGUUGGGAUCA
rnacentral:tRNA from 1 species